rnacentral:misc_RNA from 1 species
UGGUUCUGGCAUCGAUGAAGAACGCAGCGAAAUGCGAUAAGUAAUGUGAAUUGCAGAAUUCAGUGAAUCAUCGAAUCUUUGAACGCAUAUUGCGCCCGCCAGUAUUCUGGCGGGCAUGCCUGUUCGAGCGUCAUCUCAACCCUCAGGCCUCCGGGUCUGGUGUUGGGGCUGCUCUGCGGCGGACACGCCGCAGGCCCCGAAGGACAGUGGCGGGCCCGCUGGACACCCGAGCGUAGUAGUUACCUCUCGCUGAGGGCGCCCCGGCGGGGACCCGGCCGUAAAACCGGACACUACGGGGCCUCCCCCCGCGUGCCACCACCACAACGUUGACCUCGGAUCAGGUAGGAAUACCCGCUGA